rnacentral:rRNA from 1 species
AGGAUGAACGCUGGCGGCGUGCCUAAUACAUGCAAGUCGAGCGAACGGACGAGAAGCUUGCUUCUCUGAUGUUAGCGGCGGACGGGUGAGUAACACGUGGAUAACCUACCUAUAAGACUGGGAUAACUUCGGGAAACCGGAGCUAAUACCGGAUAAUAUUUUGAACCGCAUGGUUCAAAAGUGAAAGACGGUCUUGCUGUCACUUAUAGAUGGAUCCGCGCUGCAUUAGCUAGUUGGUAAGGUAACGGCUUACCAAGGCAACGAUGCAUAGCCGACCUGAGAGGGUGAUCGGCCACACUGGAACUGAGACACGGUCCAGACUCCUACGGGAGGCAGCAGUAGGGAAUCUUCCGCAAUGG